rnacentral:tRNA from 1 species
GGGCUUGUGGUUUAAUUGGUUAAAAUAGACCGCUCAUAACGGUUAUGAUGUCGGUUCGAGUCCGGCUGAGCCUA